CAGAACGAACGCCCGGCGGCGCCCUCACACACGCAAGACGAACGGCGAAGGGUCAAGCUCGCCGGUUCCGGACGCGCGGCGAAACGGGCGAGUCACACGCGAGUAACCCGCCCUCUUCUUCCGGACACCGCACGAAAUGCGCGGCUCAUCCGGGAUAAUUCCGGGCCCGUCGCACGACGGGCCCGGGAAAGACGCGCCCUUCGGGCGUUUUUCGGUGGGAGAUGGGCUCGCGGCCUAUCAGCUUCGUUGGUGGGGUGAUGGCCUACCAAGGCGGUGACGGGUAGCCGGCCUGAGAGGGUGGACGGUCACACUGGGACUGAGACACGGCCCAGACUCCUACGGGAGGCAGCAGUGGGGAAUAUUGCACAAUGGGCGCAAGCCUGAUGCAGCGACGCCGCGUGAGGGAUGGAGGCCUUCGGGUUGUAAACCUCUUUCGCCAGUGAAGCAGGCCUGCUCCUUGUGGGUGGGUUGACGGUAGCUGGAUAAGAAGCGCCGGCUAACUACGUGCCAGCAGCCGCGGUAAUACGUAGGGCGCGAGCGUUGUCCGGAAUUAUUGGGCGUAAAGAGCUCGUAGGCGGCUGGUCGCGUCUGUCGUGAAAUCCUCUGGCUUAACUGGGGGCUUGCGGUGGGUACGGGCCGGCUUGAGUGCGGUAGGGGAGACUGGAACUCCUGGUGUAGCGGUGGAAUGCGCAGAUAUCAGGAAGAACACCGGUGGCGAAGGCGGGUCUCUGGGCCGUUACUGACGCUGAGGAGCGAAAGCGUGGGGAGCGAACAGGAUUAGAUACCCUGGUAGUCCACGCCGUAAACGUUGGGCACUAGGUGUGGGGGGCCUUUUCCGGGUCUUCCGCGCCGUAGCUAACGCAUUAAGUGCCCCGCCUGGGGAGUACGGCCGCAAGGCUAAAACUCAAAGGAAUUGACGGGGGCCCGCACAAGCGGCGGAGCAUGCGGAUUAAUUCGAUGCAACGCGAAGAACCUUACCAAGGCUUGACAUGUGCCGGUCGGCUCCGGAGACGGGGCUUCCUCCUUGUGGGGCCGGUUCACAGGUGGUGCAUGGUUGUCGUCAGCUCGUGUCGUGAGAUGUUGGGUUAAGUCCCGCAACGAGCGCAACCCUUGUCCCGUGUUGCCAGCACGUUGUGGUGGGGACUCGCGGGAGACUGCCGGGGUCAACUCGGAGGAAGGUGGGGAUGACGUCAAAUCAUCAUGCCCCUUAUGUCUUGGGCUUCACGCAUGCUACAAUGGCCGGUACAGAGGGCUGCAAUACCGUGAGGUGGAGCGAAUCCCUUAAAGCCGGUCUCAGUUCGGAUCGGUGUCUGCAACUCGACACCGUGAAGUUGGAGUCGCUAGUAAUCGCAGAUCAGCAACGCUGCGGUGAAUACGUUCUCGGGCCUUGUACACACCGCCCGUC
rnacentral:rRNA from 1 species